rnacentral:rRNA from 1 species
GACGUAGGGUGCGAGCGUUUGUCCGGAAUUAUUGGGCGUAAAGAGCUCGUAGGCGGUCUGUCGCGUCUGCUGUGAAAACUCAGGGCUUAACCCUGAGCUUGCAGUGGGUACGGGCAGACUAGAGUCAGGUAGGGGAGAACGGAAUUCCUGGUGUAGCGGUGAAAUGCGCAGAUAUCAGGAGGAACACCGGUGGCGAAGGCGGUUCUCGUGGGCCUGUACUGACGCUGGAGGAACGAAAAGCGUGGGGAGCGAACAGG